GAAGCAUGGAACCUAUGCUUGAACUUGGACGCUCAAGGUUGUACGAAGAACAGAUUACCAUCAUGAGGUGUAGCGAUCAAAGACCGAGUCACAAGAUAGAUUGUACGGGGAUCCUUGAUUAUGUAAAAUGAUAGUUAUAAGCUAUGCUUUUAUUUUGUAAAUGUGUACAAAAGAUACCUAUAUUGUAAGAAGGUAUUUUAUAAUGAA